rnacentral:rRNA from 1 species
AACGAACGCUGGCGGCAUGCCUAACACAUGCAAGUCGAACGAGACCUUCGGGUCUAGUGGCGCACGGGUGCGUAACGCGUGGGAACCUGCCCUUAGGUACGGAAUAACUCCCCGAAAGGGGUGCUAAUACCGGAUAAUGUCUUCGGACCAAAGAUUUAUCGCCUUUGGAUGGGCCCGCGUUGGAUUAGCUAGUUGGUAGGGUAAUAGCCUACCAAGGCGACGAUCCAUAGCUGGUCUGAGAGGAUGAUCAGCCACACUGGGACUGAGACACGGCCCAGACUCCUACGGGAGGCAGCAGUGGGGAAUAUUGGACAAUGGGGGAAAGCCUGAUCCAGCAAUGCCGCGUGAGUGAUGAAGGCCUUAGGGUUGUAAAGCUCUUUUACCCGGGAUGAUAAUGACAGUACCGGGAGAAUAAGCCCCGGCUAACUCCGUG